UCCGCAGCAGGUGGGCAAAGCAGCGGGAGUCAAGAAGACCUUGGCUUCUGGGAAAGCAGUUUCUUUCUUCCACAUGGAGGCUUAGCAAAGAGACUGGAAUAUCGCGGUUUGGGUUCCAGGAAUGCAAAGUCUUACUAGCUGGCAAAGCUCAUCAAAAUGUUUCGGCCAGGCAUGUCCACCAAGCUUGUUAAGUCAUUCUUGUUCAAGACAGGAAACCAGUUUUGGCCACGGAAGGUGGAUUUGAACCCUGGGAGGCCCAGGUUCCACCUGGAACUCAAAGUCUCAAGGCCUGGUGCCCCCUAGCAAGCCCUGCUGAAUGCUGACCUGUACUGAAAUGACAUGUGUCGCCAUACACGGAGCAUUCCGCAUCCGGCUUCGACGCCGGUACAGCAAGUGGCCCGUGCUGUUAACAUCAAAGAAGCGGCGCUCUGUGCCGAAAAAGUAAAAGCAGCACUUGGAACGAAAACCCACUGGUACAGAUCCGCAAACAGGAAAGUCGACCUGACACGUUGGAAGAUGCGCUAAAUGGUUUCCUCUUCUCUCUGGCUGGCUGUUUUCGUUUGGAACAUAAUAGUGGCCUGAGAAGUUGAGGCUGAAAACUACCCACUGGAUUGUCUUAAACAUGGAUGUACAUGGAAGGGAACCAUAGAUAUUUGGCAAAUCCUGGCUUCAGACACCCUCAACAUCACACUUGCACCAACCACAACACAGAGAGACCCUGCGACCUCAAUGUCAGCUCUGUUUGAAGAGCCCAUUCAGUGGUCUUUCAUGCAAGUGAAUCAUAGGCUUGAAAUUCUGUUAUGUUUCUCCUUCAUCUUCUCCUUUAAAAUAUCUUUGUCCGAGGGCACCUGGGUGGCUCGGUCAGUUGAGCAUCCGACUUCGGCUCAGGUCGUGAUCUCACGGUUUGUGUGUUCGAGCCCUGCAUCGGGCUCUGUGCUGAUGGCUCAGGGCCUGGAGCCUGCUUCAGAUUCCAUGUGUCCUUCUUUCUCUGCUCCUUCCCUGC